rnacentral:ncRNA from 1 species
CGCCCCCGGCGGCCCAUGAAAAUCCAGAGGACCGAGUACCGUUCACGCCAGGUCAUACUCAUAACCGCAUCAGGUCUCCAAGGUGAACAGCCUCUGGCCAAUGGAACAAUGUAGGCAAGGGAAGUCGGCAAAACGGAUCCGUAACUUCGGGAAAAGGAUUGGCUCUGAGGACUGGGCUCGGGGGUCCCGGCCCCGAACCCG